UGAAUUUGGACCAAUGGCCAGCCACGUCACGUGACGUUGUAAAUAAACGAAUGACAGAGCCGUUGGUCAUAGUAAAACAAGGAAAGCCAAACACAUGUAACACGGAUAUACAUUGUCUGAAUGUGAAUCUGAAGUAACAAAAGGCUGUCUUGGUCCGUUGAUGUUCUUUCUAUCCGCCCGUCUGAAGCCGGUCACUGAGGUGAAGCUGUCCAGCCACCAGGCCGUCCUGUGGCCGAUGCAACAUCCGUCGACUGAACGGACCGGACUGGCCAACCUACGACGAGCGAGGAGCAAGCAACGCAACGUCCGCUAGCGAGCUGUUCUGAGUGGACCUCUUCUCCUGACCCUGAGCUGUUAGACCAAAGAAGAGUGCGGGUUGUAUUCACCAACACCCAAAAAGUCAUGUCGGAAUUGAAUAAAGAGGUGGUGGAUUUGGUCUGGGGGAGACCCACGAGUGGUGGUGUAUCGGCUUCAAUCUUUCGGAGGUGGACCCAAGGGUUUCUUUUCAGUGAAAAUGAACACUCAGCACUGGAGCAGUUUGAAGGAGGACCAUGUGCCGUCAUUGCCCCAGUCCAGGCUUUUCUUCUAAAGUAUGUUCUCUUUAACAAAGAAAGUCCAAACUGGAGGCACAUUUCAGAAGAGGAGCAGAAAUUUGCUUUGUGUUCCACUUUGAGUGAGAUCCUGGAGUCGGCCUGCUCUACUCCCUCAACUAGCUACUGCCUGGUCUCCUGGGCUAAGGGGCAGACCCCUCAUGCAAUCACCCAUGCCAAACCACGGACACAAUCACAGACACGGUGCACGCCAGAGCCGGAGAGCAGCCAGGCACCACAAGAGCUGCAGCCCACUACUGUGUCUGCUGAGGACCUUGGCUUUGAGCGAUUUCACAGCAUCCUCCAUAAGCGGACUGUUCAGUCAUUGUCUGAGCUGAGGGAGGAGAUGCUGUCUCUCUAUCUGACCUGGAGGGGAGGCUGUGGAGUCCUGCUGUUCCUGUAUUCUGUCAUCCUCACAAAGGGUAUUGAAAAUAUAAAGAAUGAGAUCCAGGACACAAUGGAGCCACUCAUAGACCCUGUGCAUGGUCAUGGCAGUCAGAGUCUGGUGAACCUCUUUGUGACUGGCCAUGCUGUUUCGAACGUCUGGGACGGGGACAGGGAGUGCUCUGGCAUGAAGUUGCAUGGUAUCCAUAAACAAGCAUCUGUUGGCUUCCUUACUCUGAUGGAGUCUCUGCGCUACUGCAAGGUCGGGGCAUUCCUCAAGUCUCCAAAGUUCCCUAUUUGGAUUCUUGGCAGUGAGACCCAUCUCUCUGUACUCUUCACCAAGGAGCGGUCCCUGGUGGGUCCUGAGUCUACUUCAGAACAGGCCCGGAGGGUUUUCCAGUCUUUUGAUCCAGAAGGUGGCUCCGUAACCGCUACCCACUGUCCGCCUUCUGGACACAGAGCAGGGGAGUUCAGCCUCGCUGUGUGUGUGUGUGUGUGUGUGUGUGUGUGUGUGUGUGUGUGUGUGUGUGUGUGUGUGUGUGUGUGUGUGUGUGUGUGUGUGUGUGUGUGUGUGUGUGUGUGUGUGUGUGUGUGUGUGUGUGUGUGUGUGUGUGUGUCUUGGGGUUUAACCAAUCCCAUAUGAAUUACCCAAACAACACACAAGGCAUGAUUGAUUUGGAGGUUCUUCGUAUAAACUUAUUUUGUUUUCCCUGUCUUGGAGUUGAUCAAACCAGAGAGUUGAAGUUUACACAUAGGGGAUCGACAUGAUUCAUUUUUCAUUUAGACAGUGCUAUACAAAAUGACACUAUAGAUGUUAGACUUAUAGAAACAAUAUGUUUCGAAGUAUGUUCGUUCCAUAGAGGUAAAACCUUCCAACUGAAAGCAUUAUUGCCUGUUUUUCUGUUUUAUAUAUCCCCACAUUCCAUCACUCUUACUGCACUGAAAUCUGUUUAGAUUGUUCAGAGAUUCACUCUAGCAUCCGCUGGUACAUUCUGCAUGCCAUAUGUUUUCACUCAAACACACACACGCGCAAAACAUGCCGUCACAUGUGUGCGUAGAUCCACAAACUAAAACUCAUAAACACACAUGCAUGCUGUCACCAGCCGUGGAGUGGAGGAGCUGGGGAAACAUGAGAAAAGAGCCAUAAAUCUGGCUGUGUGACAUACAGUAGAGUCAGCAUGGCUCCCUAUGUUAUGGACGCAAGGCGCCAGACUCAAAGUCACACGCACGCCACUCUGACUCAUAGCUCACGCAGGGUUCCCCGAACACAAUUUGGUGACUCUUGCACAAAGUUCCCUGCAGGGUGCCAGUGGUUGUCCGAACAAAAAGUCUGCUUUCUCGCCGGAAUUGAACCGACCAGAACACCUAUCAAUUAGUGAUUAGCACAUUCCUUCACACUAUGCCGAAGGAUUUACGGAUUUGCGUGUCCACAGAUGCUAGUGCUUGCAUGAGAGCGAUAAGAUAUUUGGUGGGACACAUGUUAGUAUUUAACAUUGGUCCCCUUCAGGUAGACAAAUCAUCACUGCUGUGGAAUGUACGACAGAGGGGGGGCAGGAGAGUACCAGAUAAUGGUUUUAUCCCGGAGUCUCUGUUGGAGGAUGUGAUGAAGGCCCUUGACCUUGUCUCAGAAACGGAAUAUGUCAGCCUGAUGAAAAGCAAGCUGGACCCAGAGAGUUUAGGAA